UGUCUUAUUAUGAUUAAGUUGCCACCUAAGUGAUCUUGAUUGGGAGAACAGAGAACUGAUGGUCAACUUUGUUGAUGUUUGAAGCCUUGAUUGGGAUAGUUUUUUGACAUUGAUGCGCGAAUUCUUGGCUUUAAAAUGUGUCAAAAUGUUUCUCUGUCAUUGUUUUGAUAACAUAUAGAUGUAGAGGUCAUUAAAAGAGGUAGAAUGGAGGCCCUGUCACAGUGCUUUCAUUGAGUUUUUUACUUAAUUGAAGGACACAGAGCUGCAAGUUUAGCAGAUUCAUCUCCUGCAUCCGUGCCUUUGCCUCUUUGUGUCGAACCAAAACCAAAGAGUGGGAUCAGGCAGCAAGUUCUCCUCAAGAAAGUUGUGGAAAUCAAGCCUAAGAGGCAAAAGGUUUCUAGCCCACCAAAUGCGAAUCAAGCAACCACCAUAUACAAUAAUCAUGUGACUUCCGAAUUGAAGGCUGACCAGGUGAAGAAGCAUCCCACGCCAACAGAAGCAGAGGAUAAAAUUGAAUCGGAAAAUCCUGUAAAAAGCUUGCUGGGCAUAGCAUAUGAAAGUUCUGACAACGAGGAAGGAUCGAAGAAUGAAGAGUGGAUGCAUAUGUGCCGUUCUGCAUGCUCAGUUUUGAUGUUUACUCGAAGUAGGAAAUGUAGUACAAGACAUCGAAUUGGCACUAAAUUAUUACAUUGCCUUGAAAGCUUACCAAAUUUCCUCGCUCUGCCUCCUGGUGCAAAUGUCUUAAAAAGAGUAUUAAAGACUUUUUGUGAUCGAUUCAUUGUAGAAACUUGAAAUUGCCAAUCUGACGCGUAUUUUGACAGCAUUUCUCUUUA